GCAUCCAGAAAAGACCUGAGAGGCGGACGACACCUGUGCUCCGCAGAGCAGAACGUGGGAGGAACGGCGGGAUGUUAAGGAGCUCAAGAAGCAGAGAGUCUACCUGCCCGACGCGUUCGUGGAGAGGAGCAGCGGUUGCUGUUGGAGGAGGAACUCAGAGUGGUUUUCCAGAUGGGAAUCACAUUGCUCUCUGUCCCUGAGAUCUUGCUGGAGACAGGGCUACUCAGUCCCUCUUUGCCAGGUAAUCUGUUCCAGAAGAAACAUGUGUCGUUCUGACUGAGCCCCUGCCUGUCUGUCACCUUAAGAGCCAGUCAAUUCAUAUGGUCCCCAUAUCAAAGUCUCCUGUGCCCAGAGAGAGGAUUUCAUUUCAACCAUCACCAUCACCACCAUCAUCAUCAUCACCAAGAGAUGUUGUUGAAUUGAUACUGGAAAAGCAGUUUCUAUUGAGCCCCCAAAUGAAGAGUGAGUGCAGAUGAAGAGGAGGCAGGACUCACAAGCCCUUGAACUUUAUUCCAGAUCUGUUAGCACCUACAGGACCCUGCACCAGGAUUUCAUCUGUACUAUCAGCUUCUUCAAAGAGAGAGAGGUUGUUGAAUUGAUAUUGGAAAAGCAGUUUCCCAUUGAGUCUCAAAUGAAGAGAGUGCAGAUGAAGAGGAGGUAGGAGUCACAAGCCCUUGACCCUCAUGCUAGACCCAUUACCACCCACAGGACCUUGCAGUGGGAUUUCAUCUGCACCAUCAGCUUCUUCAGAGAGAGAGGUUGUUGAAAGACUCUGUAUUGAACCAAGGUGCUCUACACAGUAGCCCCUACUAAGCUCCCAGCAGAUGCCAGCAUCAGUCAUCCAUCUCUUCAUGUGGAUGUCUGAGCUCAUAUCAGGUGUCUGAAAGAGGCAGAUUCUGAGGAUUUGGGUCAUGAUGGCUGCCAAAGCUUCUACUCCUGACUUAAAGGGCAACAAUCCUAGGAGACCACCAGCACUUACAUCCCUGGUAGGACAUGACACCUGCUUAUGGCUCAGAAGUGACAAAAGAGAAUUAUCAGGAUGGCAGUCCUUAUAACCAGAUGCUUAUCAACAUUCUUCACUACAUUCUGAAGAUGAAUUUCUACAAGGGAAAUUGUUUAUGUAAGUGGUGUGUACCCUUUGAUAUGUAUUGACAUAGUGGCACACAUAGAGUUGUGCCAUUUAAACUCCCCAAGGGGAGGCAUGUGAGGUCGGCCACAGAGGACUGAAGAAAUUAGUUAAUGCUGACAUCCUAUCACAUAGGGUGGGUCCUGGACUCCGUCAUGGACCUGCUGUCAUGCCAUUGCCACAAUUGGAAGACGUGGAAGUGAUCAGAUGCAAUCAAAUUUUGUACACAAGCACAUCCUGAUGUAGCGAUGAGGGAAAGGGGGAAGAGGAAUGAUCAUUGCUUGGACUUACAGGACAGAGGCAGAAGGGCUAGGACACAGGCACUCUUUAUACGCAUUCUUUUUUUUUUUUUUUUUU
rnacentral:lncRNA from 10 species